rnacentral:snRNA from 1 species
GUGCUCGCUUCGGCAGCACAUAUACUAAAAUUGGAACGAUACAGAGAAGAUUAGCAUGGCCCCUGCACAAGGGUGACACACAAAUUCGUGAAGCGUUCCAUAUUUAA